UACGUAGGGCGCAAGCGUUAUCCGGAAUUAUUGGGCGUAAAGAGCUCGUAGGCGGUCUGUCGCGUCCGUUGUGAAAACUCGAGGCUCAACCUCGGGCUUGCAGUGGAUACGGGCAGACUGGAGGUAUGCAGGGGAGAACGGAAUUCCUGGUGUAGCGGUGAAAUGCGCAGAUAUCAGGAGGAACACCGGUGGCGAAGGCGGUUCUCUGGGCAUGUCCUGACGCUGAGGAGCGAAAGUGUGGGGAGCGAACAGG
rnacentral:rRNA from 1 species